GCGGGUGUAGCUCAGUUGGUAGAGCACUUCCUUGCCAAGGAAGAUGUCGCGCGUUCGAAUCGCGUCACCCGCUCCA
rnacentral:tRNA from 1 species